rnacentral:rRNA from 1 species
UACGGGGGGGGCAAGCGUUGUUCGGAAUUACUGGGCGUAAAGGGCUCGUAGGUGGCCAACUAAGUCAGACGUGAAAUCCCUCGGCUUAACCGGGGAACUGCAUCUGAUACUGGAUGGCUUGAGUUUGGGAGAGGGAUGCGGAAUUCCAGGUGUAGCGGUGAAAUGCGUAGAUAUCAGGAGGAACACCAAUGGCGAAGGCAGCACUCUGGGACGUGACUGACGCUGAGACGCGAAAGCGUGGGGAGCAAACAGG